rnacentral:lncRNA from 1 species
CCAUGCAAGCCUUGACGGUCGGGGAGCUGCCUGCCGAAACCAAACCGGUGUUCAAUUGCAUUCAACCCAGCAAAAACAUGAUAGAAUAUUUCGCUGCCUGGCAACGUGCGCGCUACGAAGAGGAUUGUCGUUGGGAAAUGCGACUUGCGCAUGUUCAAGCCGGACGGACUGCCAUAUUUUAAAGCCGCGAGGACGGGAGUACACUUGGGAAUUUGCAAUGGGCAAGCGGGGGUUGCCGGGAGCUUGGCGAAUCGUCAACAGGGAAAAGAAGCUGGCGGGUUUCACACGCGUGUCGUUUGGACUGCCAGAUUUAAGCCCGCGUCAAGGUGCGUUGCUCACAUGGCUUAAUUGUGGGCCCAAAGCCCCAUGUCAAGCCACUGCUAGGGGCCACGAACUCGUCGCUGGGGCACUUACGGCACGGGCAUGUCAACGGUCAACACAGUUGCAUGUCAGCAGCACUGCCGGAACACACCGGCACGCCUCCAUGUGCCUUUCUCCGCAGCGUCCGCAGUGCCGCGCCUCCAUGUGUCUUUCUCACCGGUGUGUCUUUCUAUGAGCCUACGCACUAACAUGGAUCACGCGUGGAAUCAAGCUGGGUCUACCUUGGUACCAUAGUCUACUUGCACGAGGUGCGCACGGCACUGGCAUAGCCCCACCCGAAGCAGAGGGCGUCCAGAGUAAUAAGCGACACGCAGCGUAAUGCAGCCUAUGCACGCCUGUGACCGUGAGCAACGGAGCACAUUAACGCGCCGCCUUGCCACGGCAGCAUGGUUGCCUCAGCUGAGGGGAACCCCUGCCUCAUCCACACAGAGCGCGGCAGCCCCGUCACCUCAGCGGCGUGCUAUGCGCCAUCCUUAACAACGCAUGCAGCUACAGCGCAGCAGUGGCUCGCGCCAGACCCCUCAUCACCCCAGAAGUCAUUCAAAUUGAUAAGCCAUUGUAUCCAAACAGGCGCUCGCACUCAGAAGCAAGCUGCCGGAUUUGCAACAAUCCCCCAUUCGCCUCUCACCUAGCGGCCUUGUCACGUUGCCCUGCCUUUCCCACCCCACCUGAAACCCUCAGUCCCAACCACAGCAGCCUCCAUCGCUGAUGCCCCCUGGAGCACUGCUCAUUGCGCCCCGCCCAGGUUAAUCAAUUCCAGCUCACGGGCCGUCAGCUCACGGCGCGGCGGCCCGCCGCGGCCGUCCGGCCGCGUCACGUACGUGAGGCGGUUUUUGUUCUUGGCCGCGCCCAUGGUGGCCGCCUUCAUAGCGGACAUGGGGUGCGGCGCCACA